GCGGGCGUGGCGAAACUGGUAGACGCAAGGGACUUAAAAUCCCUCGGCCUUGGCUGUGCGGGUUCGAUCCCCGCCGCCCGCA
rfam:Shinella sp. HZN7, complete genome.